rnacentral:rRNA from 1 species
ACAGCAGCCGCCGCGGUAAUACGUAGGUGGCAAGCGUUGGCCGGAAUUAUUGGGCGUAAAGGGCUCGCAGGCGGUUUCUUAAGUCUGAUGUGAAAGCCCCCGGCUCAACCGGGGAGGGUCAUUGGAAACUGGGAAACUUGAGUGCAGAAGAGGAGAGUGGAAUUCCACGUGUAGCGGUGAAAUGCGUAGAGAUGUGGAGGAACACCAGUGGCGAAGGCGACUCUCUGGUCUGUAACUGACGCUGAGGAGCGAAAGCGUGGGGAGCGAACAGGAUUAGAUACCCCAGUAGUCCCUGUCUCUUAUAC